UACAGAGGUCUCAAGCGUUGUCCGGAAUCAUUGGGCGUAAAGCGCGCGUAGGUGGCCUCAUAAGUCCGCUGUGAAAGUCAAAGGCUCAACCUUUGAAAGCCGGUGGAUACUGUGAGGCUAGAGUACGGAAGAGGCGAGUGGAAUUCCUGGUGUAGCGGUGGAAUGCGCAGAUAUCAGGAGGAACACCAAUAGCGAAGGCAGCUCGCUGGGACGUUACUGACACUGAGGCGCGAAAGCGUGGGGAGCGAACAGG
rnacentral:rRNA from 1 species